rnacentral:rRNA from 1 species
UACGGGGGGGGCAAGCGUUGUUCGGAAUAACUGGGCGUAAAGGGCUCGUAGGCGGCCAACUAAGUCGGAUGUGAAAUCCCCAGGCUUAACCUGGGAACUGCAUCCGAUACUGGAUGGCUUGAAUCCGGGAGAGGGAUGCAGAAUUCCAGGUGUAGCGGUGAAAUGCGUAGAUAUCUGGAGGAAUACCGGUGGCGAAGGCGGCAUCCUGGACCGGCAUUGACGCUGAUGAGCGAAAGCUAGGGGAGCAAACGGG